AGCUACAACAGCACCCGAUGCAAACAGCGAUGACGACUUCGAAACACCGCUUCCGGUACCAUUCGCGGAAGUUUCAAAUAAACACCAUACACCAGCUGAAACAACACACCGUGUCACAGCCGACGACGACGACUUCGUGACGCAACCACCAACGACAAAUCAAUCAGCUGCCAAUUCACAGCCGGUCCGCGACAAUGUUGACCACCAACAACCAUGCGAUGGAAAAAGACGUAAGUCAAUAGCGAGUAGGAGAAAGUCGACGAGACCACCAGCGUCAUUUCCAUCGAAAAAAUAUGAGCCCUUUACCGGGCCAAAAAUUAAACUGAGGACGUCUCCGGAUAAUCUUGUUAUAUUGGUCAACAGCUUGAAUAAACAACAAAAAAAGAAGGUCAUAGAAAUGGGAUUCGGU